GAAGUUUACACUCACUGUCACUGCGGUUCUUCCUCUAGGACUCCUGUGUGUGUGCGUCUAUGUGUGUGUGUGUGUGUUAUGGUGUGUGUAUCCUAUUCUCAAGGAGGUUCUUGUUAUAAAGUGUCUAUCGUUGGUGUUUUUGUAUGAAGAGUGUCUCUGAAGAUGAUUUUUUUUGCAGUCAUAAGAGGCUCUGUGGCGCAAUGGAUAGCGCAUUGGACUUCUAGGCUGUCUAUGAAAAAGAGAUUCAAAGGUUGUGGGUUCGAGUCCCACCAGAGUCGAGCUUUAAACUCCUGAAUAAAUUUGUAUGCAUGUAAACAUACAUAGAUAUAUUUCAUAGAGAACUCUGUCAGUUGUUUUUACUUCUGCUUCAUAAUUCUUUUCUACUUCUUUGUUACAUUUGUGAGUUUAUAGGUGAUGUAAAAUAAAUGUUUUAAAGCGGAGGACUUUUUACCCUAAUCUUUUCUUUGAACGCUUGAAGCCUUACAGUCAUGCUAUCCGUCUCUGAAACUUAAAAUCAUCCACAAACCAACAGUGAUGCUAUUUUGACUCUCAUCAGCCUGUUGACACAGCACUUGCGAUGGUAAAUCCUGUAUUCUACCAUCAGGGACAGUUUGCAUAUCCAACACUGUCAAGCUUUGUUAAACCCCCCCUACAUUUCAACAGCAUGUUUUGGACAUUUACCAGAAAUGACAAAAAGCAGACUUUGCGAUCUAAAUACUCCAAACCCAGAUUCUGACAGGGCUUGAACCAAUUAUUAAUGCAAAGACUCGCCCAUUGUACUUGCUUCAGCCAAAUCUAAAAAAGUUUCUGCCUUAUUGAGUCAGUAGGUCCUUAUAACCACAAAGAGCUCUGAUGUGUUUGGCCAGAAACAAGAGCAUGUUGAUUGUGAGUCUUUGGGGACCUGUUUUCAAUAUCAUGCAGUCUCUUUAAACAAAACUCAUGUCUUACAAACCAUGAACCCUUUAUAGUUUAUUUACUCUACCUCUAUAAAUAAUUUCUGCACUUCAUGGCCCCAUAGUUUGACCCACUUCUUAAACACUUCAACAGACACUGUUUUUUUUAAAUGAAAUGUAGAAAACAGGACAUAAAACUGGAGACUGAUAUUCUUUGUGUCUGUUCAGCAUCCUGUCAAACUGCUGAAUAAACUAGAAUAUUUAAGGGAUGAAGCGUGUUGUGAGUCUGUGAGACGACGCUGAGGGCAGAAACCCAGGAGGCCUCUCUCUGUUGGUGAUCUCAUCUAAACAUGAACCCAAUACAGGCCGAAAAAUGUAAACACAAGCAGACACACACAGAUACUGUAGCUCGUCAUAUUUGAGACUAUUUGUGGCCUGAAGAACCGCAGACUCCUCUCCGCACAAAUAUGACUAAUAAUUGUAAUUAUUUUUGAGAUCUUGACUAGAGAGCAUGGAGUCCUGUUUGAACACAGCAGAAGCAACUGAAGGAGAUUUAUCUCUUUUAUUUCCACUUUCAGUGAUUUUUGGGAUGUGAACAAUGGAAAUACAUAACCAUCAUCAAAAUGUCAGGAAGCAUUUAAGUCCAUAACACCCUUCAUGUGCUUUUCAUUGGACUACGUAUCAGCAAUCCCACCACCAGAGUCUUGUCUUAGAGCACUGUGAGUCAAUGGUCACAAUGUUUGAUUAGAUUUCAGUCCCUUUCUGUCAAAUGGACUUGACCAAAGCACCCUGGAAACCUUUUCUUCACUCAAAAUCUGUUUGUUUCAGACAUAACAUAUGAGCGUGGACAUUGAGUGGCUCUGUGGCGCAAUGGACAGCGCAUUGGACUUCUAGUAAUGCCAGUGAGAAGGUAUUCAAAGGUUGUGGGUUCGAGUCCCACCAGGGUCAAGUCUUAUAGGCUUGGACACCCAGAGCAUGUGGUUGAGCACAUUAUUGGGCUUUAGAAACCUCUGUGACAACUUCCUACUGUAGUAAAAAGGUUCAGGACUCUGUGGUGCAAUACACAGCAUGAAACUUAAAAGUAUUGAGUAGAGUUGUUAAAAGGUUAGGGGUUCAACUUUCACCAAAGGCAAAUCACAAAUGCUUGAGCCAUCUGUCUUAUUUGGGUUUCCUGGAUUCAGAGUAUGGAAACAGCAUUGAAAACUAAUUCCAGUUGAGGAAGCUGUGACCUUUGCCCUUGACCUCUUAUACCUACAUGAGCUUGGGUUGAAGCUGGUUCUCCUGUGAAGCCCUGUGGAAGUGAAAUAAUGGAGUCAAACAAUGUGAGGAAACUGGACCGUUCGACAGCUCUGACUGUUUCAUUUAAUCUAUGCCGAGGUGCGUGCUCGGUCUCUCCGGUUACUGCAGCAACAAGAUAGGUGUCUCUCUCUCUCUCUUUAUCACACACACACAUACACACUGCUGUUAUGAUGUAAGUGAGAGUCUUGGUCAGCUUCCAUAGACAGCCACUAGGGUGUUUGUGUGUGACAAACUGUGUUUGAGGCGGAUGCACCUGGAAAUACCUUUGUAGGUGAUGAUGACAUAUGCACACUAUCAAACCCACACGCACACACACGCCUCAGCAUUUUCCUCUUUUAUAUUUAAGUGCUGACAUUCAAGUCCUGAUGGACCUAUCACUCGGUGUGUGUGUGUGUGUGUGUGUGUGUGUGUGUGUGU